rfam:Aeropyrum pernix K1 DNA, complete genome.
GCCGCCGUAGCUCAGCGGUAGAGCGCCGGCCUCGUACGGGCUAGCUCCGAGGUCGUCCACCCGCCAGAAGUGGAGCCCCCGGGACAGCCGGUGGUCGCGGGUUCGAAUCCCGCCGGCGGCU